UGUAUUACAAGGCUUUAUGAGCAUCAGCAAGAACAACAUCAGACAGGGUUUACAGGAUUGUCAGAAGCCAAUUACAAAGGAGCUUUCCUUGAAGGCUCAAUUUGACUGGACAAUCGGAAGCUUUGCUUGCAAAUCUUUCUACAAGAGCAAUCAGAAUAUAAUAGAAGGAAGAUUUAAGAGAAUUAAUAGAUGUAACAGUGGCAAUCAACAGUACUGCUGUUGUUAAAAUUGUGAUUUGAGUUAUGUUGGCAAUCCAUAAAACUGUACUCAUAUUAUUAGAGGUAUAUUGAAGGUGUUAGAAUUAUUC
rnacentral:misc_RNA from 1 species